rnacentral:rRNA from 1 species
CCUACGGGAGGCAGCAGUGGGGAAUAUUGCACAAUGGGGGAAACCCUGAUGCAGCGACGCCGCGUGAUGGAAGAAGUCUUUCGGUAUGUAAACUUCUAUCAGCGGGGACGAAAAUGACGGUAACUCACUAAGAAGGCUCCGCCAACCACGUGCCAGCAGCCGCGGGAAUACGUAGGGGGCAAGCGUUAUCCGGAUUUACGGGGUGUAAAGGGAGCGUAGGCGGUGUAGCAAGCCAGAAGUGAAAGCCCGGGGCCCAACCCCGAGACUGCUUUUGGAACUGCUGAACUAGAUGGCAGGAGAGGUAGGUGGAAUUCCUAGUGUAGCGGUGAAAUGCGUAGAUAUUAGGAGGAACACCAGUGGCGAAGGCGGCUUGCUGGACUGUAAAUGACGCUGAGGCUCGAAAGCGUGGGGAGCAACCAGGAUUAGAUACCCGGGUAGUC